GGACUGUAGUCUGCAACCCGACUACACGAAGCUGGAAUCGCUAGUAAUCGCGAAUCAGAAUGUCGCGGUGAAUACGUUCCCGGGUCUUGUACACACCGCCCGUCACACCAUGGGAGUCGGGAAUGCCCGAAGUCAGUGACCCAACCUAUUGGAGGGAGCUGCCGAAGGCAGGUCUGAUAACUGGGGUGAAGUCGUAACAAGGUAUC
rnacentral:rRNA from 1 species